UGCCAGCAGCCGCGGUAAUACGGGGGGUGCGAGCGUUAAUCGGAAUAACUGGGCGUAAAGGGCACGCAGGCGGUGACUUAAGUGAGAUGUGAAAGCCCCGGGCUUAACCUGGGAAUUGCAUUUCAUACUGGGUCGCUAGAGUACUUUAGGGAGGGGUAGAAUUCCAGGUGUAGCGGUGAAAUGCGUAGAGAUGUGGAGGAAUACCGAUGGCGAAGGCAGCCAUCUGGCCUAAUACUGACGCUGAGGUACGAAAGCAUGGGGAGCAAACAGGAUUAGAUACCCUGGUAGUCC
rnacentral:rRNA from 1 species